GGGCAUGUGGUGUAGUUGGUUAUCACGCUCGCUUAGCAUACCGUAGCAUGCGAGAGGGGUCCGGUUCGAUCCCGGACAUGUCCA
rnacentral:tRNA from 1 species